rnacentral:tRNA from 1 species
AGGAAAAUAGUUAAAUAUAACGCUUGGGUUGCAUUCAAGAAGUACUCUUUGAGUUUUUCUUA